rnacentral:rRNA from 1 species
AGAGUUUGAUCAUGGCUCAGAGCAAACGCUGGCGGCGUGUCUUAAGCAUGCAAGUCGAGCGGCAAGGCGGGGCGACCCGCCCUAGAGCGGCGGACUGGUGAGUAACGCGUGGGUAAUCUACCUUGGGCAUGGGGAUAGCCAUUAGAAAUAGUGGGUAAUACCGAAUACGCUCGCGGGGGGAAGGGUCCUGUGAGGAAAGGGUGCUACGGCACCGGCCUGAGAUGAGCUCGCGUCCCAUUAGCUAGUUGGUGAGGUAAGGGCCCACCAAGGCGAUGAUGGGUAGCCGGCCUGGGAGGGUGUACGGCCACACUGGGACUGAGAUACGGCCCAGACUCCUACGGGAGGCAGCAGCUAAGAAUAUUCCGCAAUGGACGAAAGUCUGACGGAGCGACGCCGCGUGGAUGAAGAAGGCCGAAAGGUUGUAAAGUUCUUUUGCGAGGGAAGAAUAACCGCAGGAGGGAAUGCCUGUGGGAUGACAUGAACUUGCGAAUAAGCCCCGGCCAACUACGUGCCAGCAGCCGCGGUAACACGUAGGGGGCGAGCGUUGUUCGGAAUUACUGGGCGUAAAGGGCAUGUAGGCGGUCUGGUAAGCCUGGCGUGAAAGACCACAGCUUAACUGUGGGGUUGCGUUGGGAACUGCUGGGCUUGAGUGACGGAGAGGGAGCUGGAAUUCCUGGUGUAGGGGUGAAAUCUGUAGAUAUCAGGAAGAACACCGAUGGCGAAGGCAAGCUCCUGGCCGAUGACUGACGCUGAGGUGCGAAAGUGUGGGGAUCAAACAGGAUUAGAUACCCUGGUAGUCCACACGGUAAACGAUGUGCACUAGGUGCUGGGGCGGUAGCCUCGGUGCCGGAGCGAACGUGGUAAGUGCACCGCCUGGGGAGUAUGCUCGCAAGGGUGAAACUCAAAUGAAUUGACGG